GCCCGCGUAGUAAUAUCAAAAUCACAAUUACGCUGAAGACGGGUUCGCAAAAAAAGAAUCUCGAAUGGUCAACAAUAAUAUAUCGCUCAAGGAGAAUAAUUAUCUAUUUUAAUAUAACAACUAAUUUCAACAGUAAAAACAAAUAACAAAACAUUGUCAAAUUUGAAACAGAAGUGUACGAGUUGUCCUACGCUUCAGACUUGACAUUCAC
rnacentral:lncRNA from 1 species